GUGGAGCUGGCUCCGGCCCCUGCUGUCUCUCCAGGGCCUGGGCUCCCAGGCUCUCAGUGAUGCCAGCCAUCCUGCCCGGCCCCUCCCCGGGGUGACGCAUGAAAGGGCUUCUGAAACUGAAGGGAACCCUGGCAGCGGGGGACGGUGUGGCUUUAGGGUGACGCCGCCCCUAAAACCGUCCUGUCUCUUCGCCCCUCCCUGGUGAGGCGCGCCAGGAAGUCACCUGAUCAGGUCACCGCCCAGCAAGCCCACCCCCUCCCGUCUCAGCUUCCGGUUGUGCAGCCCUUAGAACAGCUCAGCUGCGGGCCUUCUCUUUCCUUCAGCUUGGAAUCUAGUUGAUUUGCAGUGUUGUGCUAACGUCUGGUGUGCGGCAGAGUGGUUCAGCUGCACGCACACACGUACUUUUUCACGCCGUGUUCUCACGGGACGUCUAAUGCAGCUCCUGCACUGCACGGGCUCUCACUUGGGCCCCGACCAGGCAUAGAAUUUCAGCCUCAGCAGUAAAAGCGCCAAGGCCUAACAACCGGCCCGCCGGGAACGCCUCACUUACACUCAGAGGCCGGAACCAGAAGGGCUGUCUUUGGAAUGGGCGGCAGUCGCUCGCUUGGAUCUGUGGGUUUGAGUCUCAAGCAGAGGCAGCAUCUUGGAAGAUAAUCUCUCCUGUGUGCAGCCAGCAGUGACACCAGGCUGGAUGCUGCCGGAGCCCAGCCUCUACCCUGGGCUGUGCUGUUCCUGGGGAGUGGACUGCACGGGCCGGCUCGCCUUCAGUGUGGGCCGAGGGCCUGCUGUGUGCGGGUCCCGCCUCAGAGCAGCACUGCCACCAGCCUGGCCGGAUAGGAUGGCACCUCCCUAUCAUGGCCUCAGAUGGGGUCUCUCCCUGGACCCCCAACUGCCAGGACCGAGGUGGGGCCACAAGCCGUGGCUUCCUCUCUUCACUCGGCAGCUCAGGCGGUAGGAGCAGCUUGUGCAAAGGCCCUGGGGUAGGAGUGCAGUCCGCUCCUCUGGGCAGAGUGGAGGAGAGGAUGGCUGCAGGCCACCUGCUCUCAGGGUGCCUGUGAGACGCGCCCCGGGGCUGCAGGCAUGACCUCUGUGACAGGCACGAGGGGAGCUACAGCUCGAGGCUCAGGCCGCUCAGCUGACAGCUCCUAAUGCGGUGGCUGGGACUCUGCGAUUCUGAAACCCACAUCCCUGAUGCCAUCCCUCACCGCCCUUCAACCCUGAGACCUGGUCCUCUUCUCAGAAUUUGCCUCAGUGGUGUCAGGCCUGGGCUCUGGGCAGCCCUCCUGGACCCCAGGCAUCCUCACUGCAAAACAGAGGGAUGGGUGUGGGCUCCGUGAACGAGCCUGUGGACAUACUCCACAGACACACGCCGCGGACAUGGCCCUUGACUGCACAGCACACGCAGGCACCGUGGCUCUGCACCCACGGGCGUUCAGGCUGGGACCCUGAUGGACAUUUCUAAAAUUCCAAUUGCUGCCCAUUUAUCUCAGUGCAUAUGAGAAAUAACGUACCUGUGUGUGUAACUAGCAACUCAAUCCAUGCUUUC
ensembl:lncRNA